rnacentral:lncRNA from 1 species
GGGUACCCUGUGUCAUCUAUCAAGCUUCGUUCCCAUGAAGCCAAUUUCCUUGCUUCUAAAAGGAAUUGGGAGUUUGGUAGCGGUGUUCUCUUUUAUGACCGCAUCUAUGGUGGUCUAACCUUAUCAGAUGCAAUUGGGUUCAAAGGUUGUAGAGAAAUUGAGGGGCCUUAUGUUGACUACCUUGCAGAGCAAUUUGGGAAGUCUGUUAUCCUUUCAGGACCUAUCAUACCUGAGUCACCCAAGACUGUUUUAGAGGAAAAAUGGAGUGCGUGGCUUGGACGGUUCAAGGAUGGUUCUGUGGUUUUCUGUGCACUUGGGAGUGAAUGGAAAUUACCACACGAUCAGUUCCAAGAAUUAGUACUGGGUCUUGAACUAACAGGACUUCCAUUUUUGGCUGUUGUAAAAGUUCCAAUUGGGUUUGAGACAAUUGAAGCUGCGCUGCCAGAAGGGUUUAAGGAAAGGGUUGAAGGGAGAGGGAUUGUUCAGAGUGGAUGGAUACAGCAACAGUUGAUUUUGGGACACCCAUCAGUGGGUUGCUUCAUAACACAUUGUGGUGCUGGUUCGUUAACUGAGGCAUUAGUAAAUAAGUGUCAAAUGGUGUUACUCCCACAACUUGAUAGUGACCAAGUCCUUAACGCUAGGAUGAUGGGUAGCAACUUGAAGGUUGGAGUUGAAGUGGAGAAAGGUGAAGAAGAUGGUUUGUUCACGAAGGAGAGUGUGAGCAGAGCAGUCAACAUUGUGAUGGAUGAGGAGAAUGAUGUUGGCAAACAAGUUAGAGAAAAUCAUGCAAAAUUGAGGAAUUUCCUCCUAAGCCGGGAUUUAGAGUCGACUUGUCUUGAUGACUUUUGUCAGAAGCUUCGAGAUUUACUCAAAUAAUUUUUACUUAAUUAAGUUUUUAUUUAAAAUUGUUAUAUUUUUAAUUGAAUAAUUUUUUUGUUAUUUAUGUAAUGUAAUUGUUAUAUUGUGUUGUUAUCUUUUUUAUUUAUUUUCACAUAUUAAGGAUGAUUAUGGAUUAGACUUUUUGAAAUCUUAUCACGUAAUUCAGACCUAAUAUAAUAUAUUUAAUUCUCAAGCUAGCUUAAUUUUAACUAAAUCUAACUUAUUUCAUUUAUCUUUUUAAUAUAAUUUAAAUUAAAUUAAAUCUGAAUUAAAUACAUCUUGUUAAUUAAUUAAAUUUAAUGAGAUUGAGUUAAUAGGUUGAUUAUUAGAUUUAUUAUACAUGAGUUAGGUCAACUUGACUAGAUAUAAGUUUAAACCAACUCAAAUUGUUUUAGACUUUAAUGACUUAACUUGAAUUAAAUUUACUUUAUUUUUACCUUGAGUCAACUUAACCUAAUCUAAACUUCGAAUGAAUCAAUUCGAUUUAAACUUAAACUAAUUCGAUUCAACCCGAACUAAAUCUAAAAUCAUUUGUGUUAAUUUUAGUAUAACUAAUCAAUAAUUGAGACAAAAAAGACAUUUUAAUCAAUUCAAAGUCACUCAAUUCUCAUUUGCGUUUGCAAAUAUAAGAAGUUGAUGGGUAGAAACUUGAAGUAUGUGUAAAGUAGGGAAGAAUUUGAUGGAAGAGGAUAAUGAAGUUAGUAGAGAAGUUAGAGCAAAUCAUGCAAAAUUAAGGAAUUUCUUGAUAAGCCAUGAUUUACAUGAAAAAUCUCUAUCUCUAUAUGUAUUCAAAUCAUUUAAGGUUGAAGUUGAGAAUUGUUCUCGUGUCUAUUGUAAAGCCAAGAAUCUACCAACAAGUAUACUAGGUUGAUGUAGUAAACAAGUGUCGUAUUCACAGGGAUUUGGUGGAAAUAACAAUGUUAUGAUCAAUUUAACCUGAUAUGAGAUCGUUUUUGUGUAAAAAAUGUGAGAAUGGUGUCACGUUAAUCUAGAAAUUAGUUUAAGUUUUCAAAUAAAUGAUUAUAGUAUUAAAACCGUGUUGGAGUCUAAUUUCACAUAUUCAUCCUCUCUUGCAUUAGAUAUUCCUUCAAGUCUACAACUUCAUGUGAUCAUGUCCUUGGAGUGCUCUUUAUGGUAUUCCAAGCGCAUCCUGGUACCUAAAGACUAGUAUCUUGCCUACUGUCCAGUACGAAACAUGUUAGUGACACGUACGAGUCACCUGCAUUAUGAAUAAGAAUUUAUUUCAGUUGCACAUCUCUGGCUUAUUUCAUCUAAAACCACACAAAAAUAUUGAUUGGAUAACAACUCAAGACUAUAUGCCUUUAGGCCUCAAGCCAAUUAAACAAGAUAAGUGAUAAUUUCAUCCCAAAAUUAAGCACAAAUCAAUUAACCACUUUAAAUCAAAUGAAAGUUACAUAAAUGAAAGUGUCACCAAAUACAAGAGAGUUUGAAUCUGCUACAUCGUGGUUCAACACAUGGAGAUUUAACUCCUCAUGAAGAUAGAAAGAAUUAUAAGCAAAUAGAUGAGAUUUUAAGUACAAGGAUUAUGUGAGAGACUCACUAGAGUCUCUCUCUAAAAUUACCCUAAGAGAGUUAAGACCGAAGUCUAGUUCUCUUUUCUAGAUCUCUCCACCUCUCAUUUCUUCUCUUCCAAGGUGCUUGUAUAUAUAGACUUUCGUAGCGUGACUCAAGCGAUGGCUCACAACUCCAAUGUUGAGGUUUCUUCCCUUGAUGGGUUUUCUGUGUGGCUUAGGCUGUGAAGAUCUUAGCUCGAGCUGCUUGAGGUUGCUUAAUAAUGAAGCACUUUCCCAUAGCUUAAGCCUUAGUUGAUGGCUUUAUGAUAACGGUCUAAAAAUCGUUAUUUUCAUACUUAAAUUUGAUAUUAAAACACACCCUUUAUGGCUUAGAAUGAGCUUUAAAUCAAGUAAAACACUUAGUUGUGUCUUGUGAGAGUCAAAAGUUGGUUUUAGAGAUAUUAUGCUUGUUUUACAUUGUUUUGCAGGGUUUUAAGGUGAAUUGAAGAUGGAAGUGAAGUAAGGUGGACUUAGACCCAUGUUUUACUUGAUUUAAAGCUCAUUUUAAGCCACAAAGGGUGUAUUAUACUAUCAAUUUUAAGCAUGAAAAUAACGGUUUUUAGACCGUUAUCACAACCCCAAACUUAGAACUUUGCUUGUCCUCAAGCAAACAAGACAAAACUUGGCUUUCCACUUUUUCAUCAAAUAAUUCACACUUUUCAAAAACUUGUUAAGUCCUUGGCAAGUGUACCAGAUCGUUAUCAAGUAAUAUAAACGGGUAAGUCCGAGUAUCGUUUUCACAAAGGACUCUUAGGCCUUAACUUUCAUGUAACCUAAUUUCAUAAGACUUGAGAAAAGAAUAAAGUUUUUAUUGUUAAAUGCAAAAACAGAAUUAAAUAUGCAAAUGCAGUGAAUCAAUGGUUGAGGAAAAACUAUGGAUGAAUGGUGUUGUUGGGGUUUAAAAUUUCAUCUUAUCCACUCUCAUAUAUCUACUCUUCUUAUUUACUUCACUUAUUUAUCUAAUUGCCAUGCACACUUUCUUAUUUAUCCUUAACCCAAUCCCUUGGUGAAAAGAACCUAUUAUUAAUUACCGGCUUGCUAUCCCCAGCCUCCCCUAGUAACCAAUAAUGCAACGCGAUUGGAAGCAACUACAAUUGAUCGUCCUACCCCUAUCCCUAGGCGAUAUUGGCAUAAUCAAGGAAUUUCCCAUCAGUUCAUAACAUUAUCGUACGUCCCCAUAUCGAUAAAGACAAACAUCUUUUACUGAAUGAGUUAAAUAAAAGUGUUGAGCACAGAUGAGAACCCAACAAUUGAUAAACAAGUAUAUGACAAGCAUAUGAAAUAAAUAAGAAUUUGUAUAUAUGAGAGUUUCAAAAGAUUAUAUUGUUCUCCAACAACAAAGGGUUUAGUUCACCAUAAUCAUGAUGAACUAGAUGAAUUGAAUGGAAAGAAUGAAAAGAUAAACCCUAGAUUUGGUAGGUUGGAGCUCCCACAUCCAUAAUCCUCCUCCAAGGGGUGAAAAGAGUGUUGUGUCGUCUUCCUCUGCCAAAGAUUGUGUUUCAAUUCGCACUGGGGCUAUUUAUAAGCCAAAAAGAUAACAGAAUGAUCACACAAUCUGCAAAAUAAAAAUUGACAACCGCUCAGCCCCUAAUUUGACCGCUCGGCGGUUUCCCCCUAAUCGCAGGACCGCUCAGCGCCAAAAACUGACCGCUCAGCGGUUAGGUCUACUUUUCUGGUUGGCUGGUCAACUUUUCUGGUUGACUGGUUGACUUUUCUAGUUGACUAGUUGACUUUUCUGCAUUCUGGUUGACUUUUCUGCAUCGCAACUCUUUGAUAAUUCAAUCCUUCUUUCAAAUCAUUUAAUAAACCUACAAAAUCAAGGGAAACCAAGCAUAAAACCAAGAAAACCAUCUUUGACUCUCUUAUUCUCUAACUUAAUAAAAAUGCAUGAUUUCAAGCUAAUUCUAAGCCAUAAAGGGUGUGUUUUAAUAUCAAAAUCAAGUAUGAAAAUAACUGUUUUUCAACCAUUAUCAACCCAUGAAAGAAGGAGAAAAAUGAUGAAAAGAAGGGUCAAGUGAGCCGUUGAGCGCAUGAAUUGAUCGUUGAGCGCUCAGAGCGAUUAGAGAGAAACCGCUCAGCGGCAAAACUGACCGCUGAGCGGUCAAAGCGACUAGAAGGAAACCGCUGAGCGGUGAACUUAGGCACCUGGGCGGUUGUCUGUUUUUAUUAGCUAGAUUCUGUAAUCUUUCUGUUAUCUUUUUUGGGCUUAUAUAUAGCCCCACUGCGAAUCAAAACAUAUUCUUUUGGCAGAGAGACACGUCUAGAGCUAUUCCACACACCUUAGAGGAGGUUCCUUGGAUGCUUAGGCUCCAAUCUACCAAGUUUAGGGUUAUUUCUUCCAUUCUUUCAUCAUAUUUCAUCUAGUUUCACCAUGAUUAUGGUGAACUAAACUCUAGGUUGUUGGGGAACAAUGUAAUCUUUUGAAAUUCUCAUAUAUCCAAAUUCUUAUUUAUUUUAUAUGCUCGCAUAUGCUUGAUUUAUCAAUUGUUGGGUUCUUCACCUAUGCUUAAUGCUUUUAUCGGUUAACACAUUCGGUAAAUGUUGUUUGUCUUUAUUGAUACGAGGACGUACAGUAAUGUCAUGAACUGGUGUUGAAUUCCUUGAUUAUGUUAAUACCGCCUAGGGAUAGGGGUAGGACGAUCAAUUGUAUUUUGCUUCCGUUUAUCAUGCAUUAUUAAUUGCUAGGGGAGGCUAGGGAUAACAAGCCGGUAAUUAGUAAUAGGCUUUCACCAAGGGAUUGGGUUAAGGGUAGACCAAGAAAGUUUGCAUGACAAUAUGAUAAAUAAGCUAAUUAAAUAAGAAGAGUAGAUAUAUGAGGAUGGAUAAGAUGAAAUUGUAAACCCCAACAACUCCAUUCAUCCAUAGUUUCUUUAAGCCAACUGAAUCAUUGCAUUUGCAUGUUUACUUUUGUUCUUUGCAUCACACUUCAACUUAAUUCUUUUUUGAAGUCUUACGCGAUUUGUUUACAUGUAAAUUAAGGCCUAAGAGUCUUUUGGGAAAUGAUACUUUGGAGUUACCCGUUUAUAUUACUUGAUAACGAUUUGGUACACUUGCCAGGGACUUAACACUUAAGCAAACCUUCCUUGGUGGGUUUUCUUCUGUGGCUCAAUCCCUCAGGUGACGCUCUAACUGUGGCAAGCCAAAUUCUUCCAAAAUGAAUGUAAAUCUUCUUUUUUUUCGUCAAAAUACAUAUUUAAAUCCUUGAAUUUAUGUGUUUCUACAAAACAAGUAAAAUUGAGGUAGUUAUCAUAGUUUUUAUACAUAAUCAAAACAAGAUUGUUGAAAGAGGAAGUGUGGUUGAUUCCAUUUUAUAGGAAAUCCCAUCUGAUGUCUUAUGAGCAAUUUGAUCAUAUAAGGUUUGGAACCUUAUCCUAAGAAUAUUGAGAAUAUUAUACCAGAUAGGUGAACUUGAACCGAAGUUAGCGAAGCUGCUAACGGUUCAAAAACCGUUAUAUUUAUACUUAAAUGCGAUACAAAACACACCUUAUAUGAUUUAGAAUUAGCUUAGAAUCAAGCGUUUUGCUUAAGUUAGGAAAUAAGAGAGACAAAGGUGGUUUUCUUGGUUUUAUGCUUGGUUUUCUCAUGAUUUCGCAGGUUUUAUCUGGAAUUAAAUGAAGGAAAUUGAAGUAGAGAAGAGUUGGACUCAAGAGAAGGUGGAAAAGUGAACAAAAGAGGAAACGUAGCCACCGCUCAACGUUGACCUAGCAUUGAGAGCCAGUUUUGUAGGAGGAUUCUUUGUCAAACACUUGAGCAUCAACACCGAGGGGUGAAAUUUAGUGUUGAGCUCACUGUUAAGCGCCAACCUAUAGCUGAAUGCUGGUUUCUUCAGUGACUUCUUUGCAAGCGCCUGAGCGUCAACGCUGAGCGUUCCUCUUGAGUACCAUACCCACCUCUGAGCGGUGGCCCAGGGUUGAGCGCUAUACUUUUGGGCCUGGGCUAGUUUCUUCUUCGUUUUAAUGAGUUAUAAAUAGAUUUGGAGGACCUAGAUGGUCUAUCUUUUGACAGAAGAGAUGUAGAAACACACUUUUCACCCCUUGGAGGCGGAUUUUCGAAGCAGGAGCUCCAACUUAACAAAUCUAGGGUUUAUCUUUCCAUUCUUUUCAUCUAGUUUCACCAUGUCUAUGGUGAACUAAACCUCCAUUGUUGUUGGGGAAUUGAUGUAAUCCUUUGAAACUCUCAUAUAUUGAAUUGAUACUUUACUCGUAUGCUUUUAUUCAUUAAUUGUUAGGGUUUUUCCUCCAUUAUCUUUAUAUGCUUUGUUUAAGACAUUAUUCAAUAGCGUGAUCUUUGAUUUUAUCUAUAUGGACACGUGUGGGUAGAUCUAGAAGUGAGGGAAUUCUCUCGGGAGCAAUAUUACCUAGACAUAGGAAUAGGAGGACCGAUAGCCUUUAAGCUUCUAUGCAAAUAUUGUAAUGCAUGAUUAAUUGCUAGGGAGACAAGACAUUGUAAACUAGUAAUUAGGAGUAGGCUUUUUUCACCAAGACAUUAGGAUUAGGGUAAAUUAGAAAGUGGCAUUGGCAUUAAUGAAGGAGUAGAAUUCUUAAAUAUAUGAGAGUGGAUAGGAUGAAAUCAUAAACCUCAACAACAUAAUUCAUUCAUACAUCAUCCAACUGCGUAUUUACUUUGGUCAAUUGAUCAAACUUUGCAUGCAUCUUUAAUUUUCGUUUUUGCAUCUUAAACACCAGUUUUCUUUAGUCAAGUCUUAUUAUAAUCAACAAAUCACACGAAAGUCUAGGCCUAUGAGUCUCUAGGGAAAAGAUACUUGGUCUUACCACUUAUUAUUACUUGAUACGAUUUGGUUCACUUGUCGAAGUCUUAACAAGUUGUUGGCACUGUUGCCGGGGACUCGUGGUUUAACUAUUCUAGUAGUGUGAUUAUUGAUUAACUUUGACUUGAUUUUUUUUUUAUUUUUUUUUCUUAAAAAGUGCUUUCUAGGGUUUUGUUUUCUUGUGUAUGCAGGAUACGGUUCGCACUAGAAGUAAGAAAAGUACAUAACCUCUUCUUAAAGGCUUAAGUGAAACUCGAAGGAGGGGGAAGGUUCAAAUAUCAUCUAGAGAAUUAUUCCCUUCUCCUGAGAGAUUAUUGCAACCCUCACCAGAAGCAGCCAACUAGAGUAAAAAGAUGGCUGAGGAGGAAGCUCCUAGGAGACGCACUAUGGCAAAUGCUACUACUGUGGUUGGCCCUCAACAUUUUAACAACGUUGCAAGGUCGAGAGUUAAUGCACUGAACAUGGAGGUUAAACCAGCAUUGAUUCACUUGGUGCAGAGCAAUCAGUUUCAUGGGCUAUCAUUUGAGAGUCCAUAUGAUAAUCUCACCACAUUCAAUGAGUUUGCAACACAGUGAAUAUCAAUGGUGUGUCGGAUGAGGCAAUUAAACUUAGCUUGUUUCCUUUCUCAUCGGGAGGCAAUGCUAAACUAUGGCUGAACUCAUUCCUGGAGGAUAACUUUACAACUUGGGAGGCUGUGGUGGCUAAAUUUCUAAAUAAAUACUUCCCACAGUCGAAAACCAACAUAGGUAAGAUGGAGAUUUCUUCUUUCAAGAAAGGCAUGGAAGAAUCCCUAGGCCACGCGUGGGAUAAAUAUAAAAUCCUGCUGAGAAAGACGUCUGUACAUGGUUUUGAUGAUACAUUUGUAGUCCUUUCGUUCCUUAGAGGCCUUGGCACUCAAACAAAAACUAAUGUUAGAUGCCUCAGCUGGAGGUAACAUAAAAUGCAAGACUGUAGAGGAGGCCAAUGAUUUGAUAGAAAAUACGGCGGCCAGUGACAAUGAGAUGCACAAUGAAAGUGGAGAUUUUCUUCAACAAUAAGAGGUUUCACAUUUACAAUCUCAGGAUGUCUUGCUUGAGCAACACAAGAUUAUCUUUCAAGAGUUGAAAGAAGUGAUACAAAAACUUGCUCUAUUGCCACAAGAAAUUCAGACUGUUUCACUGGUUCAAUGGCCACAGCAAAUCACGCCACCUAAGAGGAACGCAAAGCUUGAAGAACUUUUCUAGCAAACUAUGAAUAGGAGUUUAUCAUAUGUCAAAAGCAUGGAGACUAUGAAAACUAGAACGGAGACACAUAUGGGGAAGUUAAUCAAGGAGAAACAGGGGUGUGAGAGGAAUACAAGAAAUGUUCCUAGGGAAGAAUGUAAGACCAUUUUCACUAGGAGUGGUAAAGGGUUAGAAGAGAGAAAAACUGAGUGAAAAGAGAAAGAAAAGUUGAGUCAAGAAGAAGAGAGUGAGUAUAAAAAGAAAAGAAAGGAAGAAGAAAGUAAGGGGAGUGAAGAAAAGAGAAUUGAGGGAGAAAAGAAGAAAGGAGAGGUAGAAGAGAGAAAAAAAGAAGAAUUUGAACAAUCCCUUCCUUAUCCAUAGACUUAUUCAGGGAAGGAGAAAGAAAAAUAGUUUGAGCGGUUCAUGAAGAUCUUUAAGAAGUUGGAAAUCACCAUACCUUUUUCUGAGGCGUUGCAGCAAAUGCCUUCAUAUGCUAAGUUUUUGAAGGAGAUUCUCACGAAGAAGAAAAAGUAUAAUGAGAAGGAGACCAUUGAAGUACAAGGGAAUUGUAGUGCAAUUAUGCAGAAGAUGUUGCCUCCUAAACUUCAAAAGAUCCAGGAAGGCUUGAUUUAGGAAGAUGUUGCCUCCUAAACUUCAACCAUCCCAUGUACCGUAUGCGAUUUAGAAGUCAGAAGAGCUUUGAUUUACUUGGGAGCUAGCAUUAAUUUAAUGUCACUCUCUAUGUUCAAGAGGAUUGAAGGCUUGGAACUUAAGCCUACUAGAGUGACUCCUCAAUUGGAAGACAGGUCUCUUAAAUAUCCUUAUUGGGUGGUUGAAGAUGUGUUGGUGAAAGUGGAAAAAUUCUUAUUUCCAGUAGAUUUUGUCAUAAUGGAGAUGGAGGAUAAUGAAGAUGUGCCUCUCAUUCUAGGGAGACCAUUCAUGAAGAUGGCUAGAAUCUUAAUUGAUGUGGAGAAUGGAAAGCUUAAAGUUAGAGUGCAAGAUGAGGAAGUGGACUUUGACGUGUUCCAAGCAAUGUCACAUCCCAAGGAUGAUAAAGCAUGUUUCCAAGUUGAUAUUGUUGAUGAAAUUUGUAUGAUGCAAGGGAAUAAGGUGCGUAGCGCUUCUCCACUUGAAAGAACUCAUUGAUGAAUGUGAAGAUUUAAAUGAAGAAGAGGAGAAGUUGAUUGAUGAAUGCUUGAUGGAUUUAGAAGCAUUGAAAGAAAUUCCAAUAGAGGAGGCUAGUUUUGAAAAAAUUUACAUCAAGGAGGAACCCAAAGAAAGUAAGCUUGAGUUAACGGUGUUACCCGCGCAUUUGAAGUAUGUAUUUUUGGAGGAAAAUGGAGGAAAGCUGAUUAUUAUCAUCAACUCUUUAUUUCCUAAAGAAAAAGAAAAGUUGGUAGGAGUUUUGAAAGCCGACGAAGGAGCUAUUGGAUUGGCAAUUUCAGACUUUAAGGGUAUUAGCCCAACUUACUACAUGCAUAGGAUUUUUAUGGAGAAUGAUUAUAGACCGGUGGCUCAAUCACAAAGGAGGUUGAUAAUUCCCUAUUUUUGCACUUUUCUUUGUGUCUAGAAGUCUUUGUUAGUGUAUUUUUGCUUUUAAUUGUUUAGAAUUAGGUUAGUUUUAGAACUUUUCUUUAAAAUUGUAGUUUUAUAAAAUUUUAGUUAAAAAUAGCUUUUUAGGUGUAAUUUUUAGUUUUUGUUAAUAAUUAGAGAAUUAAAUUUUCUAGGAAAUCUUUUAAAAUUUUUUCUUUUAAUUUUUGAAUUGCUGAAAUAUUUCUUUUAUUUUUUUGGCAUAUGUGAAAGAGAUUCAGCUACUGCUAUGCAAAGGAAUUGGACGUUGCUCCCACUACAUUGGAAAUAAAUUGGAUUUGGGCUGCUGAUUGUUGAUGCCGUAAGAGACCCUGAUUGGGCCGCUACUGCCUUGAAAUAGUUGGGCCGACACUGUUGCUGCCACUAACGGAGAUAGCCGCUGCACUUGGCAAUUUUUUUUGCCACUGACGCUGCUUGAAGAAUGAAAAUGGGCUGCUAGACCUUGAUUCCAAUUAGUGGAGCGACAGUGUUUUGGCAUUGCAGCUGCUAGGGGGUCUUUGAUUGGUAAUUCAUUUUGGAAAAAUAAAGAACUCUCUCGAGCAUCUGAGGAAGAAAAAGAAAGCUUCAUAGCUAGGGCAAAGUAAAGAGGGAACAAGAGAAGAAAAAGCUGAAGCACGUCUUGACCGGAGGAGCUGGAGAAGAUGACCCACGAUCUGACUGGAGCUGCCACGUGGAGGGGAUCAAACGGCUAGAAAGAUGAUGAAGGUUGACCAUCCAUUGCGAAAAGGAAACGUCGAGAACAAGUUUCAUUCUUCCCUUUUCCCUCUUUCAUUUUCCCUUUUCUUUUCAGACAAUAUAUAAAGGGGUUUCUGCAAUGUAUAAGAAUCUUAGACUUUACAGACUCUCAGACACUCUCUGCAAUUUUUCAAUUUUAGUUUUAGAUAGUUAGGGUUUUCAGUGCUUUUGGAGCGCGCACACACGGUGGUGACAGCCCGUGGUGGCUUCGAUUGCAUCUUUUUUUUCGGUACAUUUCUUUGUAUUCUUGAUUUCUUGUUAAUAAAGUUCUUGUUCUUGAUGUUUCUCUGUUCAGUGUUUUGUGAUUCUGUAUUGUCGAUUGUGUUUCAAUGUUUCACUUGAGAAUUAAACUGUAAAAUAAUUCUAGAGGGCUUGAUUGAUCCCUCUCAUAAUCUUCUAUUUAUAAUAAUAAAUUGAUACAAGAGUACAUGAUAAUUAGAGUAACCCUAGACACAAUAUAAUCAUGAUAAUUAGAGUAACCUAGACACAAUAUAAUCAUGAUAAUUAGAGUAAUCUAGACACAAUAUAAUCAUGAUAAUUAGAGUAACCCUAGACAUAAUAUAAUCAUGAUAAAUAGGAUAAAUAUCCUAACAGUUUCCAUUUUCUUGUGUCAUUAUGUGUUGUUUUUAAAGGAAAAUUUAUUUGAACUCGUAAAUCUGCACAUUGUAAAUUCCUUUUUAGAAGUAUACGACCCCGUGGUGGGCGUAAAUGAUCGAGAUGUCUUCUCGAGACAGAUAGGAGUUCAAUCAAUGAAAAAAUUAUUUUAAUUCAUUGUUAUUGUUUGUGGAUUUGGAAUUGAAUCUGUUCUGUUUUGGGAAAUCAAUUGAUUGUUAUUCAUUUUAAAUUCUAUAUUAGAACUUUAGACCCCAAGGUGGGCAAUUUAUGAAUGGGAUGUCUUCCUGUAUAAUAAUAAUUCAAUUGAUACGCCAUUUCAAGCAAAUUUAGUUCAGCUUUGUGACUUUUAUCCAACAACUUUGUUCUGUUUAGUAGUUUAGUGAUGGGUGUCGCACCCCAUGCAAAAUUUAAUGUGCAUAAAAGAAUGCAGUAUAGACUAGGAAGUGACUCCUAGGUCGUCUCUCAAGGACCAAACUGUGGUUCGAGAAUCAGGUCAAACACGACAUGUGGGGGGUUGUGAAAGGUUUGUGACUGCAGAUGAAUUAAAUCAAAACGCUGAUGCUAACACAAAAGCAAACACAGAUGUAAAAACGAAAUUAAAUACAGAAUAAAAACAGUUGGUCAUUAACUUAAUUACAAUGUUUCCAAUCACAGAUCAACAAAAUAAAGUUGUCACUCAAACCUCUAAUCCAACAAAAUUAACCAACUAAGCGAAGGUUAACCCGGUUUUCAUAAAAGCGAACUAAGCGAACGCAGUGUUAUUGUCAAAUCUAAUUUAUACCAUGCAGUUACAUCGACUAAGCGAAGAUGUAACACAAACUGGACAACUAAGCGUAUACCCAAUUACAUGUGCAAAUAUAGGUUUCACAUUAACCAAGGUCAGAGUAGCAACCACAGUAGCAAUCCAGAAAUCUUAAGGAAACAUGGUAAUAUUACUAAUGACUAACCCCACUCACUUAAGCUAACAUCAUAAUUAAAUUAAUUAAAACUUACGUUAACAAUGAAAUUAACAUAUAUGAGUAAGCUACUUAACUUUAAUAAAGAAAAGUAAGGAAACUUUAAUAAGCAAUGCAACAUUCUAAAUGAAAAUAAAAUCAACGCUUCCUUAAAAAAUUAACGCAUAUGCAUCUUCCUAAAAAUUAAAAUAACCACUUCACUUUUCUAAAAGAAAAAUAAAUUCUAGAUAAAAUGUGUGCUGGAAUAAAUUAAAUACCCCGUGAGCACAUCUGCACCUAACAUUCUCCAAAGCCAAGUGUGCACCAUCCUCAUCCCAUUUUUCAUUCAACCGAAGCAAAAGCAUUGUUCCUUUGACCGUGACACCAUGUACACUCUAAAAUUCAAUAUAAAAUAUGCCAUGUAAAUUAAAAUGGAACAGCCUUCAUUCUCUAGCACCAUCUACAUUAUUUAGAGAAAAAUUAUACUCAGUAAAAAAAAGUUCCAGCCCAAGGAAAACAAAGUGCUCCUUUUUCACCCAAAAUACAAAGCACCGUGAGUGCUUCAAACUCAAAUCAGCGUUUUCAUUUUUUUAAAAAAAAAAAAAACAAAUCUGCAGCUGCACCUCCCUUAUCCUACCGAAUGCACCUUCUUCCCAUUUCUAAAAAGAAAAAAAAAAACGUUUUAAGGACCCCUGCUGCAAAGUGUUCCAGGCGGCUAGACACAUCUCCCAUUCUACAUUGAAACUAAUUCUUUUCAAGAGAACUUAAUCACGUGAUGGGACAAUAGGCAGGAUGGGACCUUUCAACUAGUAAAGCAAUACUCAUUCUUGUCUACCAAUAAUAAAAAAAAAAACUGAAUAAAGAUAAAACUAUGUACAAGCAUAAUUCUUCACAGCAACCACAUUGCAUUUGUAGAAUAUAAAAAUAAAUAGACUAGUAAAGCGCUGGAAGCAAAACGAAAAUUAAAGUGUUCUCCCUUCAUUCACUCAUUGAAAAUUUAAUGUUGCUAGCAAAGUCUUCUAAGAGCAGGUGGCGGUAGCUGCCUUAAAAAAAAUGCCGAGAGAGCUUCGUGAAAAUUGUUUUCAGCCGAGAAUGAUUUUUUUCAGUGUGUCACGGCUGCUGCACCUUUUCCUAGGGCCAAGUGUCUUAAAAUUGGGGUGGGGUCCACUCUAAAAAUAAAAGGAAACCCUAGGUCAAGUGUCUUACAAUUUUGAGUCCCUCAUAAUUUUUAACAAUGGUCCAAUGUGCAAAAGUUUGUUUAAAAAGUUUAAGUAAUUAAAAUUACAAUACAACUAAAAUUUAAAAUGUCUAANNNNNNNNNNNNNNNNNNNNNNNNNNNNNNNNNNNNNNNNNNNNNNNNNNNNNNNNNNNNNNNNNNNNNNNNNNNNNNNNNNNNNNNNNNNNNNNNNNNNNNNNNNNNNNNNNNNNNNNNAGUCUUGAAUUUAUUUGGUGUCCUCCAAAUGUCCCAAAUUGUGUUUCCAAAAUUUUCCCUGAAAAUAAUAAUGCAAAUAAUUAGCUCAGAAAAUUCAAAUUAAUUAAAAUCAGAAUUUGCGGUGAAAUUAAGCAUAAUUAGGAAAAACGGGAAAAUACCGGACAAUUAAGCACAAUUCCGUGAUUAAUUCUAGCACAAUAAACUAAGCGAAAUCAAUAAAAUAUCGACUCAUCAUUUAGGUUGUGCUUUUACUUCUAAUCUUGGUUAGAAACAAAAGUUAGAGUUGGAUUCACUUUGGUUUGGUACAUUGAUUGGAGAUCACAUAGUUUGAGUUCAUCGAAUGAACUUUAAGACCCUGUGAUGGGCUUAACUUACCAGGAUGUCUUCCUGAAAAGUGAUCACACAUUCUUUGCACUGAUCCACAUGAAUUUGAUUCUAGUUUCUGUUCUAACUAGUGUUUCUUGUUUUGUUUCUUUCUUUUUGGCAUUCUUGUGAAUAGGUCAGGUUGUUUUGCUUAGAUAGGGAAUUCUCCAUUUUAUUUCAUUUGGUUCUGUUCUGUGAAUCCAUUUCAUACAUCAUUUGUUUUCAUAUCCAGUUAGUUAGUUUUAGUUUCGUUACAUUGUUAAUUUUUAGCAUCCAUAGGUUAGUUUUAGUUACAUUCACUUCUCAUUUUAGUUUAGGUUAUGUUCUGUUAUACAUAGGUUCUACACUUUAGCUUAGCUUUCAGGUUUUAUUUCGUUAUCGUCUUCUUUCUUUUCUUUUAAACAGAUUAUAGUUUAGCUUUCUUUUCCAUUUUAAUUUCAUUGUUUUCAUAUUUUUUUUUUAUUUCCCCACCUUGCAUUAGUUAAUAGGUAGUAAAUAAGUAAAUAAAAUACAAGACAAAACUUUACACUUUGAACUUAAUUUUAGUGGAGUCUGAGGAUUGAUACUUAGGUUGUCCCUAUACUUCAUUAGUGGGGAAACUUAGUUUGUUCUGAUUUUAGGCGACAAAAAAAUUAGUUUAACAAAUGGCGUCAUUGUCGGGGACUCGGCGAAUUAAGUUUUAGAGUGUUAGGUUUUAAAGUGGUCUGCCUCAUGUUCAAACCAGCAGAAGUCCCUGAAGAUUGGGUCAAGUUGAAGGCAUUCCCAUUCUUCCUUCAAGAUGCAGCCAAGGACUGGUUGUUCUACAAGACUUAUUCAGAGCCAUACACUUCUUGGGCUGACAUGAAGAGGAGUUUCCUGGAGAAGUUCUUCCUAGCCUCAAUAAUAGUCUCCAAACAGAGGGAAAUUAGCUCCAUUAUGUAGUUACAAGGACAGACAUUAAGGGAGUAUUGGGGCAUAUUCAACCAGUUGUGUGCUUCAUGUCCAGGGCAUUAAAUCAAUGAGCACCUGCUAAUCCUGCACUUCAUUGAUGGAUUGAGUAUACAGGACAAAGUUUAUGUUGAUGCUACGGUUGGAGGAUCAUUGAUGGACAAGACAAUUUCAGAUGCUAGGUGCUUGAUAUCAAAGAGUUAUGCACUGAUUUUGACACCAUUUCAGUUGCUGAUUUGGUGGAGAGUGGUGAGCAUAUUUUUGAGGAAACAAUACAGGUUAAUUCUAAACUUGAGCUUCCUAAUGGUUUGGGGGAGGUGCAUAAUAGCUUUGAUAAUUUUAUGCAUGUUGAAUCUGAGAAACCCUUGCCUAAUAGUCUGGCUGUCAUACUUGGUUAUUAUGAGAUUGUGGAUGAAAUGUUUGUUGUAGUACACAUUGAUAUACCUGAUGUUGUUUAUCAUGUGUGCACUGAGCUUAAUCAUAGUCUCGAUGAUAACAUUGUGCCAUGCACUGACUUAAUUGAUUCUGCUGUUGUUGGUAAGGACAUUUUAAAUGAGUCAACACAGGUGUGUUCUAACCUUGAAAUUCCAGUUGCUUUAUCUGAGUUCCCUGUACUGUUUAAUGCACUUGGAUGUCUGUGCAUAUAUCCUAUAAAGCAUGUUGAUGACACUGCUGAACUUAUUGAUUAUAAGGCUUUUAAAGCAGCAUUUGAGAUUGGAAAUCUUCAUACCCCUGUUAAAUGUAUUGAUGUUAUGUGUCCAGUCGUUGAUGUGUUGCUCUUUAUUGAAAAUGAUUCUGAGUUCACUGUUAACAAAGCUGCAAUGUUUGAUGAUCCACUUAUGAAUGUUAACUUUGAAUUUAGUGAAUGUUUAGCAGAAUUAAACAAAGAGGAAGUUGUAGAAACAAAGGCAGCCCUGGUGGAGGCAAGAGAUGAUGUCAAGGUUGCUCAAGGAGUCUUGAACGUGCAUAAUCAGUUGCCAAUCCUGGAAGGAGAGCUAAUGGUGCUGGAACGAGUGGUUGAGCAGGAAGAAGUCAAUGCAUUGAUGGAGAUUCUGAGCAGAGGAGCUGAGCAUGGAGAAAAACCAAUACGCCCAUUCUUUUCCUUACUUUUGAAUAUUAGUUAUAGGUUUUUGUUAGUAAUGUGCAUAGUUUUAAAUUGUAUAGUAAAUAAUAGGAUAGAAAAUAUGUUGUUCUACAUAAAAAUUAAGAAAAUCAAUUUUGAUCCGUGGCCGAUUUGAAUAAUUUUUUUAUUUUAUUAUUGUGUUGCUUUGCAGUUUUAGUUUUCUUUUUCCAACUUUGCUUUUGUACAUGUUUUGUUGAUUCUGCUGUACAUAGUUUUCUUGUUAAAUUCUAGUUCUACCAUAUACAUUUUUUGUUUCAGUUGUGCUUUUAAUUCUUGUAUAUAUCCAUUGGUUAUUUGUCUUGUGCAUAUUUGUUUUGAUUCUAUGCUGUUUAGGAGCCUUACUUACUCACACAUUGAGGACAAUGUGCCUCUUAAGUGUGGGGGUGGGAAGGUAGUGGUUUAAAUUUUUUGUUUUGAUGUAAAUAUAACCCUGUUUAGUAUUUGUUUUAGUAAUAAUUAGGGGUAAAUUUUUUUUCAUAAGCUGUUUUUACUUUGGUUUUGUGUGUGGGAGUUCAUAAAUACCUAGUGUAGAUAGCUAUUGUAGUCCUGGUCUAUAAAUACUUAAUUCUUGUUUGUAAAUACCUAGUUGUUUUGUUGCUUUUAGGAUUCAUUUUGGUUGUUUUGUAGGAUAGUUUAGAUUUCUUUUUUCUUUUGGUUCAUAGUUUGUUUAAUAAGAAUUCGUUUCAGUUUUUCUUUUUCUUCUUCUAUUUUUGUCUCUUGUUUCACAUUCUGUUUUAGUCUCCAUUUAGAAAUUCCUUUAGGUGUUUUUCAUUUUUCUUAGAUUCGGUUUUAGCAUGUCAAUAGAAGUUUCUUCAGGAUUUGUUAGUUUUAAUUCUUUGCUUUAAAAUUCCUCUCUUACCUAGGUUCUGUUUUUAGUCUUUAGUUAGAACUCCCUUUAGGUUUUUCUUCCUUAUACUAUUCUGUUUUACUUGGUUUAGAUUGUAUAUAGAUGUUAUGUCUUUGUUUCUGUUAUAAAAGCAUGAUAAAGAAAUUUUACUGAGUAGGUGUGUUUUAGUUUGUAGAUGUUUUGCUUUCCUAUAAAUAUAUUCUAGGUAGUGUAAAUAGCUUUGAUUCUUUGGUUUGUUUUAAUUCCAUUGUACAUAAGCGCUCGGUUUUAGGAGUAGCUUUCCUUGUUUUAGGUUCUUUUCAUAUUAGAGGUUGUUUUGAUUUGUAAUUAGUAGUUAUUUUGGUUUCUUUUCUGUUUUUUUUUUAUCUAUGGCAGUUUAUAAAUAAAAAUUCUUUUCAUUGCUUAAAUUAUGUUCUAGUUUCUAGAAAUAGCUUCUUAGGUUUUCUUUCAUUGUCUUUGUUUUGGUUAUUUUCUUCUCCUUUUGUUGUUUUGCUUUGUAGAGGUUUAAUUUAGGUUCUUUUAGGUUGUGUACUGUGCUGUUUUAGUUGUUCAUAUUGUACAUAGUUAGGUAAUUUUGUUUAGGUCUUUCUAGGAACUUUUAGGUUCUGUUUUAUGCUUUUCUUCAUUACUUGCUGAAUUCAUUCAAUUUUUAGCUUCAUUUCCUUAUAUUUGAAGUAGACUUAGCUUUAGAUUUAGGCANAGGUAGCUCUAGCAUUGAUUUUUGCAGUCUCUAGUUCAUUUCAAUUCAGUAAUUUUUGCAUAGGAUGAGUAGCAAGUUAGUUUUAACAAAUUUUUAAACUCUUGAGAGAUUUUGGGCCAAUUUUUGUCUUUCUUGUGUGGUAACAUGCAUGUUUAGCUUUCAUUCUGAUUUUGCAUUGAUUCUUUGUUGAUGUGCUUGUUCUUGGUAGAUUUAAAUAUGAUCUAGGCAUCCUUCAUUUUUUUUCCAAUUUAGCUUACCCAUUCCAUUUUCUUACCAUUGCACCUUAUUUUGAGCUUUAGCCUCUUUUCUUGUUUCCAUCCAUUUCAAGCCACUUUCCCCAUCCAUUGAUUACCUUAGAGCAUUGUGAGACUUAGGGAGGAGUCUAGAACUUGGUGAGUACAGGAAAAAGAGUGAGGCCAGAGGUGAAAAGAAAAGAAAAAUUAUCUGAGAAAAAUAUGGUUGUGUUGAAAAGAAUGAACAAGUCUGGAAAUGAAAAAAAAUCAGAAAAAGAAAUUGAAAAAGAGACCUAAAAUAAGUCAGAAAAAAAAAGAAAACCAGAGAUAAAAGGAAAAAUUAGCUGGCCAAAAACUUGAGAGAUUAUGUCCUGAGUUCUAGAUUUCUCCCAUUUAUUCAUACUUCUCUAUUUCAUUCCAGUUCCCAUUCUUUUCUGUUUUGCCAUUUCAUUCCAUGUACAUUACAAGCCAUUAAAGACCUAGUGAAUUAAUUUUUCUAGGAAAUCUUUUAAUAAUUUUUCUUUUAAUUUUUGAAUUGUAGAAAUAUUUCUUUUAUUUUUUUGGCAAAUGUGAAAGAGAUUCAGCUGCUGCUAUGCAAAGGAAUUGGACGUUGCUGCCACUACAUUGGAAAUAAAUUGGAUUUGGGCUGCUGAUUAUUGAUGCCGUAAGAGACACUAAUUGGGCCGCUGCUGCCUUGAAAUAGUUGGGUCGACACUGUUGCUGCCACUAACGGAGAUAGGCGCUGCACUUGGCAAUUUUUUUUGCCACUGACGCUGCUUGAAGAAUGAAAAUGGGCUCCUGGACCUUGAUUCCAAUUAGUGGAACGGCAGUGAUGGGCUGUCGCAACCCAUACAAAUUUGAUUGCAUAUAAGAAAUGCAGUAUAGCUAGGGAAUGACCCCUAGGUCUUCUCCCAAAGACCAAUUUUGUGGUUCAAGAAUUGAUUCAAACACGAGGGGGGUUUGUGAAAUCAGUUAGCGAGAAAACAGAUGAAAACAGAAUGAAAAUACGACGAAUACAGAAAUUCAACGACAAAAAUGCAUACAAUACUGUAAAAAUAUGGAAUCAAACACGGAAUAAAAAUAGUCGGUAAUUAAACUAAUUACAAUGUUCCCACCACAAAUUAACAAAAUAAAAUUGCUACUCAGACCUCUAAUCCAACAGAGUUAACCGACUAAGCGACGGUUAAUCCUGUCUUCAUAACAGCGAACUAAGUGAACGUCGUGUUAAUAUCAAUCUGAUUUACACCAUGCAGUUCCAUCAACUAAGCGAGGAUGUCACACCAAUUGGGCAACAAAGCGUAUACCCAAUUGCAGGUGCAAAUACAGAUUUAAUAUUAACCAAGUCAGAGUUGCCACACAGUCACAGUUCAGAAACCUCAGGGGAACAUAGCAAUAUGGCUAAUGACCAACUGGAUUAAUUUAAGCUAGCAUGGUAAUUAAACUAACACUAUUAAAAACCUUAGACAACAUUCAAACAUCUAACACUAUUACAAACAAAUUAACAAACACAGUUAAAAAUAAUUAAACCACAACACUAACUCUAACACAUAAAAAUAACUCAACCUACUAAGCAAUUUAAUUUAAAACAAAAGAAACCAACAAACCUAAUUUAAUUCUAGCAAUUAACUUGACACAAUGGGAAUUAACAAAUGAAUUUAAAAGUCCAAGUGGCCAAAGAAGACCACAUGGCCAUGCAUCAUGUUCUUCCAAAUACCAAUUCAAAAUUUAACUUUCAAAUAUCCACCAAAUGAGUUGACUUCUUGUCCCAUGUGCACCAUUCUUCAAGGAAAUUAAACAUGUGCUUCAACAAUCCCAAUGAAAACUUCCCUUCUCUCUUUCCAUGAGCAAAAUUUCGGAAUCCACACUCCAACACCAAAAUUGUCGAGCCUACCAACAACCAUUGUGCAAAAAGUGCUCUAAAAACCACUAGCUAAAUGGACAAUAUAUUGAAUGCUUCUCCCAAUGUGCCAUGUAAGCAAAACCAAAUGAAAAUAAACAACCAAAGACCUUCCAUGCAAAGACAAUUCUCGGCAGAAUUCAAACAAAGCCAAAGCUCAAAAUGGAAAUCUUCCUAGAAUGAAAAUAAGCAUCUUUUUUGUUUGCCCAAAAGUAGUAAAAACUUAAAUGCACUACUCUCUCUUCCUUUCCUUGUCCCAUUCGGUCUUCUCACCCCAACACACAUCAUUCAGCAUUUUCUUCUUCCUCCCAUCGAAAACACACACCAAAGAAACCCCAUUUCAAGUUGCAAAACAAUUCAAGAACAAUAAACCCAAACUACUACUACUUCAACUAAACCCAAUCUUCCAUUUCUUCAAGCUGUUGUGCAAAAACGAAAAUAACAUUUUAUCCUUCAACUCCAGCACUGUCCAGCCACAAUAACACCAUCAAACUCUGGUUCCAAACUAGUUUCAAACAUCAAAACCGAAAUAUGAAAGGAAAGAGCCAAACCCACAACACCCACACAACACCUUAAGCUCUCUUCAACCCAAAACUCACAUAGAACUCCAUUUUCAUCAACCAACCAAAUAAAAUGCAAAGAAAACCAUGAAUAACAGCAACAAUGGAAGAGGAAACGGUAAUCUAAAGUCACUCAAACCCAACAACCACCAUGGAAAGGCAAAGACAAGCUUAAAAGCUCAAGCUCCAAACAUCAACAACAAGGAAAUGAAGAGAGAAAUUGACGGUCUUUCACUUCUACCAAGCCAAGACAACUAAGAUUAAAGCAAGAGAAGAAUAAAAUCUGCAACUUUAUUCAUUCAUAUAGCCAAAACCGAAAACCCCAUGGCAAGCUGCAAGAGAGUAUCUUCAUACAUGAAAACCUAGAGAAAGUGAGCCAAAAACCGUGAGAAUGAAAAGUGGCUGGUGUGUGCUCGGUAUUGCCUCUCAAUAUGACCGAGAAUCACCCAAUGAAGGGGUCCACAAAAAAAUAAAAACCCUAACCUAAAAGGCACAUGUCCUACACAUGGGUGUUUUUUACAAAAUUGCCCCCAAAAGGGUCCAAAACACCUAAUUCUAAUUAAGGUCUUCUAGAAAACGAAAUUACAACUUAAUUAAAAUGGAAGUGACUAAAUCUUGAGUCUUGAAUGAUCACGCCACCUUCCCUAAUGCUCCAAAUGAUGUUUCCCAAAAUUUCCCUGCAACCACAAUGCACUUAAUCAACUCAGAAAAUCCAAAUUAGCACAAUUACGAAUUUCCAACCAAAUUAAGCAGAAUUCAGAAAACGGGGAAAUAAAAGAAAAAAACACAAUUCCCUGGUCUAUUUAAGUGCAAUAGACUAAAUAUAGUUCGAGAAAUAACGACUCAUCAGGUAGCGUUUUGGCAUUGUAGCUGCUAGGGGAUCUUUGAUUAGUAAUUCAUUUUGGCAAAAUAAAGAACUCUCUCGAGCAUCUGAGGAAGAAAAAGAAAGCUCCAAAGCUAGGGCAAAGCAAAGAGAGAACAAGAGAAGAAAGAGCUGAAGCACGUCUUGACCGGAGGAGUUGGAGAAGAUGACCCGCGAUCAAACGGCUGGAAAGAUGAUGAAGGUUGGCCAUCCGAUUGCGAAAAGGAAGUGUCGAGAACAAGUUUCAUUCUUCCCUUUUGCCUCUUUCAUUUUCCCUUUUCUUUUCAGACCCUAUAUAAAGGGGUUUCUUCAAUGUAUAAGACUCUUAGACUUUACAGACUCUCGGACACUCUCUGCAAUUUUUCAUUUUUAGUUUUAGAUAGUUAGGGUUUUCAGUGCUUUUGGAGCGCGCACACACGGUGGUGACAACCCGUGGUGGCUUCGAUUGCAUCUUUUUGUUCGGUACAUUUCUUUGUAUUCUAGAUUUCUUAUUAAUAAAGUUCUUAUUCUUGAUGUUUCUCUGUUCAGUGUUUUGUGAUUCUGUAUUGUCGAUAUUUUUUCAAUGUUUCAAUUUUCUUGUGUAUUAUGUGUUGUUUUUAAAGGAAAAUUGAUUUGAACUCGUAAAUCUACACAUUGUAAAUUCCUUUUUGGAAUUAUACGACCCCGAGGUGGGCGUAAAUGAUCAAGAUGUCUUCUCGAGACAGAUAGGAGUUCAAUCAAUGAAAAAAAUAUUUUAAUUCAUGUUCUUUUAGUUUUGGUUUAAUCAUUCCCAUAGUCCCUAUUUUUGGUGAUUUUUUUCAAUUAGGUCCCUCAUUUUUUCUUUUUCUCAAUUGGGUCCCUAUUUUUCAAAAAUUGAUGCAAUUAGGUCACUGUCGUUAGUUCUGUACUAACACCGUUAAAAAGGUGACACGUGUCAGCUCGUGAUUUUUUUGAAUUUUUUAAAUAUAUUUUUAAUUAUUUUUAUUUUUAUUUUUAAUUUUUUUCUUUAUUUAAAAAAAAAUUGCCACGUGUCAAGUUGACAUUGAGCCACGUGGCAAUGACAAUGUGAAUUGGCACUAAUAGUGCCACGUGUCACUAUCAGACCAUGUGUCAUUAGAUUUGUCUCAAUUUGGUCCCUAUAUUUUUAAUUUAUCUCAAUUUGGUACCUAUAUUCGUAUUUUGUCUUAAUUUAGUCCUAUUUUUCUAAAAAAACUAAACAAUUUUGUUUCUCUCCAAGUUCAAACAAAAUUUAUUUGUAUAUAAAUCUUUACAAAGAAAUUUAUACAAAUUAAUUUUUUUUAUUAGAAAAAUAAAAACAUUAUAAACUAACAUAUGACACAUUUUUAUUUAUAUAGUAGUAAAGAAAUCAUUUAACCUAAAUAAUAUGAAUGAGUAACCUAUAAAAGUUAACAUCUCAAUAAUAAAUAUUUUUGUGAAGGUAAUCUACACAAGUAUAGUCUCAAUACUUCCUCAACAAUUCAUAAAAAGUUUCUAGAGUUAAAUAUUNNNNNNNNNNNNNNNNNNNNNNNNNNNNNNNNNNNNNNNNNNNNNNNNNNNNNNNNNNNNNNNNNNNNNNNNNNNNNNNNNNNNNNNNNNNNNNNNNNNNNNNNNNNNNNNNNNNNNNNNNNNNNNNNNNNNNNNNNNNNNNNNNNNNNNNNNNNNNNNNNNNNNNNNNNNNNNNNNNNNNNNNNNNNNNNNNNNNNNNNNNNNNNNNNNNNNNNUACUAAUAAUUUGCUUAACAGAAACAAAUUUAAAGACAAAAAUUUGGAAAAUGUACAUACCGUAUUUUAUUUGGGAAGGAACAAAUUUUUUAAAAUUUUUAAAAAAAUUAGGACUAAAUUGAGACAAAAUAAAAAUACAAGGACCAAAUUGGAACAAAAUAAAAAUACAGGGACCUAAUUGCUCAAAUUUUUCAAAAAUAGGGACCCAAUUAAGAAAAAGAAAAAUUGAGGGACCUAAUUGAAACAAAUCACCAAAAAUAGGGACUAUCAGAAUGAUUAAACCUUUAGUUUUCUGUUAGUUCUUGUUUGUGGAUUUGGAAUUGAAUAUGUUUUGUUUUGGGAAAUCAAUUGAUUGUUAUUCAUUUUAAGUUCUAUAUUAGAACUUUAGACCCUGAGGUGGCCAAUUUAUGAAUGGGAUGUCUUCCUGUAUAAUAAUAAUUCAAUUGAUAUGCCAUUUCAAGCAAAUUUAGUUCAACUUUGUGACUUUUAUCCAACAACUUUGUUCUGUUUAGUAGUUUAGGUUGUGCUUUUACUUCUAAUUUUGGUUAGAAACAAAAGUUAGAGUUGGAUUCACUUUGGUUUGGCACAUUGAUUGGAGAUCACAUAGUUUGAGUUCAUCCAAUGAACUUUAAGACCCUGUGAUGGGCUUAACUUCCCAGGAUGUCUUCCUGAAAAGUGAUCACACAUUCUUUGCACUGAUCCACAUGAAUUUGAUUCUAGUUUAUGUUCUAACUAGUGUUUCUUGUUUUGUUUCUUUAUUUUUGGCAUUCUUGUGAAUAGGUCAGGUUGUUUCGCUUAGAUAGGGAAUUCUCCAUUUUAUUUCAUUUGGUCCUGUUCUAUGAAUUAAUUUCAUACAUCAUUUGUUUUCAUAUCCAGUUAGUUAGUUUUAGUGUCUUUACAUUGUUAAUUUUUAGCAUCCAUAGGUUAGUUUUAGUUACAUUCACUUCUCAUUUUAGUUUAGGUUAUGUUCUAUUAUACAUAGGUUCUACACUUUAGCUUAGGUUUCAGGUUUUAUUUCGUUAUUGUCUUCUUUCUUUUCUUUUAAACAGAUUAUAGUUUAGCUUUCUUUUCCUUUUUAAUUUCAUCAUUUUCAUAUUUUUUUUUUAUUUCCCCACCUUGCAUUAGUUAAUAGGUAGUAAAUAAGUGAAUAAAAUACAAGACAAAACUUUACACUUUGAACUUAAUUUUAGUCGAGUCCGAGGAUUGAUACUUAUGUUGUCCCUAUACUUCAUUAGUGGGGAAACUUAGUUUGUUCUGAUUUUAGGCGACAAAAAAUUAGUUUAACAAAGGCUUAAUCCAGUGAUGAAGGAGGUGCGUUGGGGCAAAUCGGCAAGUGUACCGAGUCGCACAAGUAAUAUAAAAUGGUAAGACUAAGUAUCGUAUCCCAGAGCACUCUCAGCGCUGAACAAUUGUGUGAAAAUAAGAUUAAUUAAGACUUAAAAAUAAAAAAGAGACCAUUGGGUUUGUGUUGAGUCACUAGCAAGUGUACCAGAUCGUGCAAGUAAUGUAAUCGGUAAAGCCCGAUAUCGUUCUUCCCAUGAGACUCGAAAGGUUUUCUCGUUAGUGUAAAUUAAAAUCGUAAGACUUGUAAAAAGAAAUAAUUGUGGUGAAUGCAAAGACAAAAAAUAAACAUGCAAAGUAUUUGAUUCAAUUGGCGAAAAGAGACUAUGGAUGAAUGAAGUUGUUGGGGGUUUACAAUUUCAUCCUAUCUGCUCCCUCUUACCUACUCCUCUUGUUUAUUGCGCUUUGUUAUCUAAUUAUUAUGCAAACUUUCUUGGCCUACCCUUAACCCGAUCCCAUGGCGAAAAGAGCCUAUUACUAAUUACUGGCUUGCUAUCCCUAGCCUCCCCUAGCAAUUAAUAAUGCAUUAAGAACAGAAGCAAAAACAAUUGAUCGUCCUACCCCCAAUCCCUUGGCAAGUAUUGCUUAAUCAAGGAAUUUCUCACCUGUUCAUGACAUUACUGUACGUCCCCAUAUCAAUAAAGACAAACAACAAUUAUCGAAUGAGUUAAACGAUAAAAGCAUUACGCGCAGGUGAGAACCCAACAAUUGAUAAUCAAAGCAUAUGAAAAAUCAUAUAAAUAAACAAGAGUUUAAAUAAAAGAGAGUUUCAAAAGAUUACAUUGUUUCCCCCAACAACAAAAGGGUUUAGUUCACCAUUGUCAUGGUGAACCUAGAUGAAAAGUGAAGGAAAAAUGGAAAAGCAAACCCAAGAAAGUAUGAAAAGGAGCCUAAGCAUCCAAGAAAUCUUCUCCAAGGAGUCAAAAGUAGGUUUGGCCGCCCUUCUCUGUCAAAAGAAUGAGAAUGAAAUCGCAACAGGGCUAUUUAUAACUGAGGAGUGUCACAGAAAACAGGCCCAGGCCCAGCGGACAACAGCCCGGUGGUGCACUUAUGUCGCCCGGCGGUUUGCCUCUAAUCACGCCACCGCCCGACGGUAGGGGGCCACCGCCCGGCUGUUUUCCUCUAAUCGCAAAUCCGCCCAACGCCCACGCCAGGUGCCUUCUCGUCGCCCUGGACCGCCUAGCGGUGAAUUUUGCCGCCAGGCGGUCCCUAGACUCAUCUUUUCUUCACUUUUCUUCCUCUGUCCUGAGUCUAAGACCUUCAUCUUCAGCCUCCAUCUUCACUUUCAUCAAAAUAACUACAAAACAAUGCAAAAUAAACAUAAUAUCGCGAAAAAUAGCUUUUGACUCUCAACUGACUCUUUUAUUAAGUUUUACUUGAUUCUAAGCUCAUUCCAAGCCUUAAAGGGUGUAAUUUGGUCUAAAUAGACAUAUGAAAAUAACUGUUUUUCAACCGUUAUCACAACCCCAAACUUAGAACUUUGCUUGUCCUCAAGCAAAACAACACAAAACAAAACAAAACAAAGCUUGGCUUUCUACUAUUUCCUCCAAUAAUUCAACAUUCCUAAAGCACAUGACAAGAACUACUCAACUUCAAAUCUUCAGUGAAAUCAAAUCAAGAUGCAUGUAUGCUUCCAAUUCAGUUCAGUUCCCGAGUUAACCAACAUAUAUUACACAUUAUGAAUGAUCAAUUCACUAAGCAAAGAUGCAAUCAUGAACUUUAACAAUUCUCAUCAAGCACGUGUUUCACUCAAUCACUCAAGUGUUUAAGGUGGCACUCCAACACUCUAUUAUUCACAAGUCACAUGAAACAAAAUUGCCAUACAUCUAAAGCAACCAAAAUCCUUACAUGCAAAUGCCAUCAAAAGGACUUUUCCAAGGCUUGUAAUGAGGCUGGGCUAACAAGAAAAAUUGGUUUUUCUGGAAUGCAAAAUCCUUGAGUUAAGAGAGCUUUAAUAAUAUUUAACAUUUAAACACAACUCUCCUCCUCACCAACUUCACUUUUCCCAACUUCUUCCAUUUUCUUUUUCAUUGAGCUCUCUUUCAUGCUUUUUCUUCUUUUCUUUUCUUUUUCUCAUGCAUUUUUCUUUCUCAACAUCAAGCUCAAUGCUUUUCUAUUUUUCCCAAACAACCCCAAACUUGAACCUUUCCAUUGCAUACAAUUAAGCUCAUCCCAACUCAAGGUAAAGAAUUUCAAGACAAGGGCUUACAUCCUGUUUAAGGCUAAGGUUCAAAAAGGGUAUAACACAUGAAGCAUUUUGGGUGAAAAUUUGGCUAGAAAAAGGAUUUUCAAAAAUGGCCUUGAUCAUAUGACAUUCACAUGUAAUUCAUUCAAUUAUCAAGAUUCAGGCAAUAUCAUUCAUGCUUUCCUGUGAACAAUGCAUAAAACAGUAAAAACUCUGGAGCUCAAAACCUCACACACAUGCUUCCUCACACAAUAUUCAUUCAUACACCCCGCUUAGCAUCAUAACCACAAUCAUAAUUCAUCACCCAUCUGUUUCACAGAAUAACAACAUGCACCGCAGCUAAAUUAUCAUUCACAUCAAAUCAUCAUCAAAUAGGCUCAUCAUGCAAAUUAUUUAGUCAAACAUCUUCAGAAAAGUAUUCAAGCCAAGCACACACUAAAAAUAAAAUGCAACCUAUUCUAGGAAUUUAAAUGCAAAAGCAAAAGAGAGAAUCUAGGUUGCCUCCUAGUAUCGCUUGUUUAACGUCACGAGCCUGACCCAAACCUGUUUAGCACUUGUCAGUAAGUGCAAUCCAUGCCAGCACCCAUCAGUGGGUGUACCUACCUGGUAUCCUUCAGUGGAUACAAAAGUUAGCAUCCCUCAGUAGAUGCUACCCAAAAAUUGAUCAAAUAAACAAGUAUUUACACGUUCAAGAAUGAAAUAACCCUAUACUAAAAAGAAUGUUUUACAAAAGUGGAGAUAACCCCAAUAGACACCCAUCAGUAGGUGUUGAAAUUCUUCUUGCUUGAUAUUCUUUUCUUUUUCUUCUUCCUGCUGAAUUUCUUUAAAAACUUAAGAACACCAAGCACUUGUUUCCAUGUUUCAAUCAUAGGAACUUUGAUCUCUAACUUCUUGAAGAUCUCCAUAUAGUACUUGAACUUCUUUUCCUUCCUAUGAUUUUUCUUUGUAUGAGGAAGGGGCUUUUCAUAUGAUCCUUUCUUCUUUCCUCUCUUCCUAUUUUUCUCAACCUUCUCCUUCUUCCAUUUUCUUUUUUUCUUUUUUUUUAUUUUCUUAUUUUUUUUUCUCAACCACUGCUUUUUCUGUCUCCUCAUCUUUCUCUCCCUCACUCAACCUUUCUGCUUCAUCUUCCUCAUCUAUCUUUUCCACUUCUCUCUCCACCUUCUCCUCAUCAACAACCUCAUCAAUUUGUGUCUCCAAAUUCUUGAAGGUAACUUUAUAUCUUUUGGAAUCACACCUUUCUAGAAAUUUGUCGAACUUUUCAUUCAAGCUUUUGACUUGUUCCAUCACAUCAGCUGUUUGUUGACAACGUUGUUGAUCAUACUCCCACGUUUCUAUUGGUGAAGAGCAUUGUUGCUGCCACUGAUAAUGUUGCCUCUCCUCCAUGCUUUUGACAUGGUAUGGUUCAAAAUUCAUAAUCCUCUGAACAAGUUCAUCAGAUUCUGCACUUCUUUGCAUAGGCAUGAAAUAAGGCUCAGGAGCUUGUCCAUAUUGACCUUGAUCCAUGUAUGAGUGAGGUUCCCACCAGUGAUUGAAAUUAUUUUGGUAGGAUUGAGUGCCCAUAUAAUCAAAUUCUUGUUCGUACUGCAUUCUGCAAAAGUUAGGCACAAAACCCUAGAAAACAUUUAUUAGAACAAAAAUAACAAUAAACAUGAAAUCAAGUCAAAUUCAAUCAAUUCACACUACUAAAAAUAACCUCGAGUCCCCGGCAACGGCGCCAAAAACUUGUUGAGUCACUGGCAAGUGUACCAGAUCGUGCAAGUAAUAUAAUCGGUAAAGCCCGAUAUCGUUCUUACCAUGAGACUCGAAAGGUUUUCUCGUUCGUGUGAAUUAAAAUCGUAAGACUUGUAAAAAGAAAUAAUUGUGGUGAAUGCAAAGACAGAAAAUAAACAUGCAAAGUAUUUGAUUCAAUUGACGAAAAGAGACUAUGGAUGAAUGGAGUUGUUAGGGGUUUACAAUUUCAUCCUAUUCGCUCCCUCUUACCUACUCCUCUUGUUUAUUACGCUUUGUUAUCUAACUAUUAUGCAAACUUUCUUGGCCUACCCUUAACCUGAUCCCUCAGCGAAAAGAGCCUAUUACUAAUUACUGGCUUGUUAUCCCUAGCCUCCCCUAGCAAUUAAUAAUGCAUUAAGAACAGAAGCAAAAACAAUUGAUCGUCCUACCCCUUAUCCCUAGGCGAGUAUUGCUUANNNNNNNNNNNNNNNNNNNNNNNNNNNNNNNNNNNNNNNNNNNNNNNNNNNNNNNNNNNNNNNNNNNNNNNNNNNNNNNNNNNNNNNNNNNNNNNNNNNNNNNNNNNNNNNNNNNNNNNNNNNNNNNNNNNNNNNNNNNNNNNNNNNNNNNNNNNNNNNNNNNNNNNNNNNNNNNNNNNNNNNNNNNNNNNNNNNNNNNNNNNNNNNNNNNNNNNNNNNNNNNNNNNNNNNNNNNNNNNNNNNNNNNNNNNNNNNNNNNNNNNNNNNNNNNNNNNNNNNNNNNNNNNNNNNNNNNNNNNNNNNNNNNNNNNNNNNNNNNNNNNNNNNNNNNNNNNNNNNNNNNNNNNNNNNNNNNNNNNNNNNNNNNNNNNNNNNNNNNNNNNNNNNNNNNNNNNNNNNNNNNNNNNNNNNNNNNNNNNNNNNNNNNNNNNNNNNNNNNNNNNNNNNNNNNNNNNNNNNNNNNNNNNNNNNNNNNNNNNNNNNNNNNNNNNNNNNNNNNNNNNNNNNNNNNNNNNNNNNNNNNNNNNNNNNNNNNNNNNNNNNNNNNNNNNNNNNNNNNNNNNNNNNNNNNNNNNNNNNNNNNNNNNNNNNNNNNNNNNNNNNNNNNNNNNNNNNNNNNNNNNNNNNNNNNNNNNNNNNNNNNNNNNNNNNNNNNNNNNNNNNNNNNNNNNNNNNNNNNNNNNNNNNNNNNNNNNNNNNNNNNNNNNNNNNNNNNNNNNNNNNNNNNNNNNNNNNNNNNNNNNNNNNNNNNNNNNNNNNNNNNNNNNNNNNNNNNNNNNNNNNNNNNNNNNNNNNNNNNNNNNNNNNNNNNNNNNNNNNNNNNNNNNNNNNNNNNNNNNNNNNNNNNNNNNNNNNNNNNNNNNNNNNNNNNNNNNNNNNNNNNNNNNNNNNNNNNNNNNNNNNNNNNNNNNNNNNNNNNNNNNNNNNNNNNNNNNNNNNNNNNNNNNNNNNNNNNNNNNNNNNNNNNNNNNNNNNNNNNNNNNNNNNNNNNNNNNNNNNNNNNNNNNNNNNNNNNNNNNNNNNNNNNNNNNNNNNNNNNNNNNNNNNNNNNNNNNNNNNNNNNNNNNNNNNNNNNNNNNNNNNNNNNNNNNNNNNNNNNNNNNNNNNNNNNNNNNNNNNNNNNNNNNNNNNNNNNNNNNNNNNNNNNNNNNNNNNNNNNNNNNNNNNNNNNNNNNNNNNNNNNNNNNNNNNNNNNNNNNNNNNNNNNNNNNNNNNNNNNNNNNNNNNNNNNNNNNNNNNNNNNNNNNNNNNNNNNNNNNNNNNNNNNNNNNNNNNNNNNNNNNNNNNNNNNNNNNNNNNNNNNNNNNNNNNNNNNNNNNNNNNNNNNNNNNNNNNNNNNNUUUAUGGCUUAGAAUGAGCUUAAAAUCAAGUAAAACACUUAGUUGAGUCUUGUGAGAGUCAAAAAGUUGGUUUUAGAGAUAUUAUGCUUGUUUUUACAUUGUUUUGCAGGGUUUUAAGGUGAAUUGAAGAUGGAAGUAAAGAAAGGUGGACUUAGACCCGUGAAAGAGGAAGAAAAAGGAUGAAAAGAAGGGUCAAGUAAGUCGUUGAGCACCAGAAUGGACCGUUGAGCGUCCAAAGCGAUUAAAGUGAAAGCGCUCAGCGGCUAAACUAACCGCUGAGUGGUACAAGCGGCUAGAGGGAAACCGCUGAGUGGUGAACUUAGGCGCUUGGACGAUUGUCUGUUUUUAUUAGCUAGAUUCUGUAAUCAUCUAUUAUCUUUUUGGGCUUAUAUAUAGCCCCAGUGCGAAUCAAAACACAUUCUUUUGGCAGAGAGAAAUGUCCAGAGUUAUUCCACACACCUUGGAGGAUGUUCCUUGGAUGCUUAGGCUCCAAUCUACCAAGUUUAGGGUUAUUUCUUCCAUUAUUUCAUCAAAUUUCAUCUAGUUUCACCAUGGUUAUGGUGAACUAAACCCUAGGUUCUUAGGGAACAAUGUAAUCUUUUGAAACUCUCAUAUAUCCAAAUUCUUAUUUAUUUUAUAUGCUUGCAUAUGCUUGAUUUAUCAAUUGUUGGGCUCUUCACCUUUGCUUAAUGCUUUUAUAGUUUAACUCAUUCGGUAAAUGUUGUUUGUCUUUAUUGAUACAGGUACGUACAGUAAUGUCAUGAACUGGUGUUGAAUUCCUUGAUUAAGCAAUACCACCUAGGGAUAGGGGUAGGACGAUCAAUUGUAUUUUGCUUUCGCUUAUCAUGCAUUAUUAAUUACUAGGGGAGGCUAGGGAUAGCAAGCCGGUAAUUAUUAAUAGGCUCUUUUCACCAAGGGAUUGGGUUAAGGGUAGACGAAGAAAGUUUGCAUGGCAAUUCGAUAAAUAAGCUAAUUAAAUAAGAAGAGUAGAUAUAUGAGGGUGGAUAAGAUGAAAUUGUAAACCCCAAUAACUUCAUUCAUCCAUAGUUUCUUCAAUGCCAAUUGAAUCAUUGCAUUUGCAUGUUUACUUUUGUUCUUUGCAUACAAACACCAAUCUAAUUCUUUUCUCAAGGCUUACGCGAUUAGUUUACAUGAAAAGUAAGGCCUAAGAGUCCUUUGGGAAACAAUACUUGGACUUACCCAUUUAUAUUACAUGAUAACGAUCUAGUACACUUGCCAGGGACUUAACACUGGGCUAAGAAGGAUAUUGGUUUUUCUGGACAAUAAAGUUCCUUGAGUUAAGAGACACAUUUAUGAAUUUAUCAUUUAAGAACAAACUCUCUUUCUUUUUCCCAACUUUCCCUUACAGUGAGCUUUUUCUUUCCUUUUGAAUUUUCUUUUCUCACUUUUUCCUUUCUUUUGCCUUUGCUUUUUACUUGCUUUUUCUUUUGAUUGCUCACUGCCUAGAGAAGUGGGUUCUUACCUGGUAACCCCAAACUUGAACCUUUACCAGUACCUCAUCAAAUGUUCUCAACCUAACUCAAGGUAAAGAUUUUCAAAAAGGUUUUUCAAAACAUGCAUAAGGUUCAAGGUUCAAAGGUUAGAACAAAUUGUUCUCUUUUCAGUGGGAAAAAAUUAUGUGAAGGCUACAAGAAUAAGGAAUAACAAAAGAUGGCCUUAAUCAUAUGGAACCUGCAAGCAAAUAGUUUAUUCACAGAAAAUUUGGGCAAAAUCAUUCAUGCUUUCAAAGUAAUAUUAAUUAUUUACAAACAACUCUGAAGCUCAAAACUCCCACAGGUAAACUCACAAGUCCCAAAAUUCAGAAAAACAUCCUACUCAGUGUCUCAAUCAAACUUUACCUCAAGCACCUGUUUCAAAAAUUGUGGUUCAACUUUUUAAGCCACAUCAUGCAUCAUCCCAACAUGAAUCAAAUGCCAGAAUCUAAUAAAGCAAAUCUCAUCACACAAAAUAGCAUAGUUGAAUCAGAGCAGUUUCAUUCAUUCAAGCGGAGCACAAUAAAAAUAAAAUAAAACAAAAAUGAAACAAAAACAAAAUUUAAAAAUUUAGAAAGUAAAGGUUCAGAGAACUGGGUUGCCUCCCAGCAAGCACUUCUUUAACGUCACUAGCUUGACCCAAUCUCCCUCAUCAUAGCAUCCAGCAGUAAAUGAUGUCAGUAACAUCCAUCAGUAGAUGCUAAUAUUUCUUAUCUUCAUUGAUAUCCCUCAGUAGACACCAAUCUUUCUCAACUUCAUUGGUAACCAUCAGCAGAUGCCUAAUCACCUAACAUCCAUCAGUAGAUGUCUAGCCAUCGUCCUCUUCCAUAGCAAUAUCCAUCAGUAGAUGUUGUAGAAGCAUCCUUCAGUAGAUGUUUUCAUUACUACCAUCAGAAGCAACAUAUAACCUAAAAAAAGAGAACUCAAUCAUAAAAAAACAAAAUCAAAUCCAAACCACACAAAUAAUAAAAUAAAAAUAAAUAAAAAAAUAAAAUAAAAUAAAAUAAAAUAAAAUAAAAUAAAAUAAAAUAAAAUAAAAUAAAAUAAAGUAAAAUAAAAUAAAAUCAAAUCAAAUAAAAUAAAAAAAUAGAAUCAAAUAAAAUAAAAGAAAAAAAAUAGAAUAAAAUAAAAUAAAACAAAAUAAAAGAAAAAAAAUUCAGGAAGUGGGUUCUAGAUAUUUUUUUUCUUUUUGUUGAAUUUUUUUAAGAACUUAAUAUAACCAGGAACCUGUUGGAGUGUUCCAAUCAUAGGAACUUUAAUCUUCAAUUUCUAGAUAUUUUUUUCUUUUUGUUGAAUUGUUCUUAUGAUUCUUUCUUUUUGCUUUCAUCCUUCCCCUCUCUCUUUUUCUCCGUAGGGCACAAAGGACUUUUCUCAAUUUUUUUCUUUUCUUUCUCAACUCCUUCGUUUUCUUCCUCUACAUCCUUCUCUUUUUCACUCAAACAUUCUUUCUCUUCUCUCUCUAUUUUUCUCUCAUCCUCUUUCUUUUCUUUCGUCUCUUUUUCCUUUUGUUUUCCCUCACUUUCUUCCUUUUCUUUCUCUACUUCGUAUGAUAGCAUAUGCUCUUACUGACAGACUUCCACCCAAGAUAUUUGACAAGCAUGUUGCUCAUAUGAGUAUUUUAUUGUUUGAGGAAUAUUUGGUUUAGUAGGAGUUAGUCACUUUCAUGUGUUUUUUGUUCUAUCUUUUUAUGCAUGCAUACAUGGUCUUUUGGACAUAUUUGGUUUUAUAAAUAUAUGGUUUAUUAUUCAGAAAUUACACUUUGUGCAUUAAUGUUAUUAUAUCAAUCUCAUUCAGAUAAAGUAAAGACUAGUUGAAAAUAGACAUGUACAAGUCACCUUCACGAAAUUUUCAUGUUAUACAUCUCAUGAUGAGUCUAUGUCAUUUUGAUUUAUUAACAUUAGUAAUCAUUGUCGGGUUUAAUUGCGACUAAUGCAAUUGAAAACUAUUUUAGUUCUAUAUAUGAAUAUAAUGAAUAAGUGAUAUUUUUUAAGAGGAUUAUGAUAAUUUUAAAAUAAUAAAGUUUAAUAUAUUAUUUAUAUAUAUAUAUAUAUAUAUAUAUAUAUAUUAUAUUAUAUUCAUGUAUAAAUAUUAAUUAUGUAGAUAUUUUAUUAAAUAUUUCAAUUUUGAAAAAUCAAAUUAAAAAUAAUUUUUUAUUUUAGAAAAAAUAAUUAUCAGAGAUUUGAUAAGAGGAUUAUGAUUUAUUUAUAAUGAACUUCCAACAAUCAAACGACAAAUAUUUUAAAAAAAAAAAAGAUAAAUUCUGGAUCAUGGAUGUCCAACUGCAAGUCAGAAUCAAACGACAAAUAUUUAAAACAAAAGAAAAAAAAAAAAGCUAAAUUCUGGAUCAUGGACGUAUGUCUGUCACUGAUGCGUAGCUGGGAGGAAUAAGUAGGUGCAAAUGGGAUUACAUUAACCCCACGUGGGUUGCAUGGUUUUAUUUAAUAUACUUUCGCUUUAAUCCUUUAUAAAUAAUGCUUUACAAAACUUGUAGACAGCACAUCCCAUUAUUUUUUAGAAGGGUCCAAAGUAGCGUUAAUACCGAAGUUUGAUAUUUUAAGUUUACAUGUUUUUCAAUUAUUGAAUAAUGUAUAAAAGUUUGCUUCCUGUGUAUUUUAAUUUUUUUACUUUGCUGUCAAUUUUCAUUAAAAAUACUCAUUUCUAUAAAUUAAAAAUAUCAUUUUACUAUAUAUUAUUAUAUAAUUAAAUUGUUGAUUAAAUAUAAUGGUUUGGUCCACCAAAUGCAAAUCACAAUUUAAUACUUUCGACCUAAUUUGGUGAAAGAUAAUCACAGGCCAACUACGUUUACCUUUUAUAAGCGAAAAAUACUAUUUUCACAACCCAAUUUCCGUAUUACAACUACUUAGCAUUUUUAAAUAAUAAUAAUAAUAAUAAUAAUAUAUUAAAUUAAGUUAUUUUUAAGAUAUAAAUCAUAUUAUUAAAUGUAAAUUAAUAAAAAGAAUUGUAAAAUAAUGAUAUAAAUUUUAAUGAAGUUAAAGUCUUAUGGAUGGUAUUAUUUUGAUACCUUUCGAAUGAAAAAUAUCCACUUCACAAUCCUAAAUAUAUUGAUAUUUUAACUGUAUUUGUUUUAUUUUAUUAACUUAAUAUAUAUAUUAUUAAAAUAGAUUUAAGAAAAAGUAAAUUUUUUGGAAAGGUCAAAAUAUUCAUUUUCUAUUAAGACCUAGCAAAUGAUAUUUUAAAAGUAAAUCAUAUUUUAAAAGUGAUAAUGAGUUAAAAAUAAUAAGACUUUAUUAUUUUAAUAGUAAAAAGUUUUAACAUAAAAGAAAUGGUUAUAAAUGAGUUUCAUUGUUUUAAAAUACACACUUUAUACAGUUCUAAACCUUUCUUUAUUUAUGAGUUAUAAUUUUAUAAUUUUACAAUUUUAUAACUUCAUGAUUUUAUAAUAUUAUUAUUUUAGGAUUUUAUGACUUUAUAAUUUUAUGAUUUUAUAAUUUUAUGAUUUUAUGAUUUUAUAAUUUUAUGAUUUUAUCAUUUUAUGAUUUUAUCAUUUUAUUGCUUUAUGAUUUUAUAAUUUUAUGAUUUUAUAAUUUUAUGAUUUUAUAAUUUUAUAAAUUUAUAAUUUUAUAAAUUUAUAAUUUUAUAAAUUUAUAAUUUUAUAAAUUUAUAAAUUUAUAAUUUUAUAAUUUUAUAAUUUUAUAAAUUUAUAAAUUUAUAAUUUUAUAAAUUUUAUAAUUUUAUACUUUUAUAGUUUCAUAAUUUUGUACUUUUAUAGUUUUAUAAUUUUAUACUUUUAUAGUUUUAUAACAACUUCAUAACUUUAUAGUUUUAUCAUUUUAUAAUUUUACAAUUUUAUUAUUUUAUGAUUUUAUAAUUUCACUAUUUUAUGAUUUUUGUAAUUUUAUAAUUUUAUUAUUUUAUGAUAUUUGUAAUUUUAUAAUUUUAUUUUAUAAAAUCAUAAAAUAGUAAAAUUAUGAAAUCAUAAUUAUAAUUUUAUUUUACAGUUAUUUAUUUUCUUAAUUUAUAAUUUUAAAAAUAAUUUACAAUAUUGUAGCUUGUUUUAUUAAAGAGAUGCUUAAAGAAAAUGUAUUUAAGGAUACUUAACUAUGUGUACAAUGGCUAAUUGUCACAAUAUAUGAUUGAAAGAAAUCUAAUUAUCAAAACUAAAUUGAAAUUUUUUUAAAAAUUUUGAAGAGAAUCGUAUGUCACAUUUUAUUUAUUUCCCCAAUUUUGUGGAAAACAAGCUGUCACGUCCAUUAAAUUCUCUAGCUGAGUGGAAUCCAAGUGGCUCGCAGUUUGUCUGGAAAUUUAGAAAAGUGGUAGCAGCAAAUGAGUGGACCGAUUGGUUUUUGGGUGCUGUAUUUAGAAUGAGAUUUUAAAAUCUGGUACCACUUUCUGCAUGCAGCUUCUUCUCCAACCUUUUGAACCUCCAUUUUUCUCCUCAUUCUCUCUAACAUUCUCCUCCUUCUCUCUAAAAAAUCUAAUCUUGUUACUUUUCCGAUCACCAUUCAGACAACAAUUUGAGGUUCUUGGUGUCUAACUCUUCAUCUUAACCGGUCAGUUUUCUUUGUGGAGCUGGUAAGUUCCAAAACCUCUUCUUCCUUCGAAACUUUUUCGUUUCAGAUGCAUGCAAUCAUUGCUUUUCGGUUGCAUAUGACUUUCCAACCUUUUUCCUGAUCCCGAUUUUAACUCUUAACGAUAAGUGAAGCUUGUUACACCAAUCUGGACAUGUAGGACGUUUAGGAUCUGAUUCUAUCUCGGUAUCACUUGAAAACUUAGGAUUUCUGGAAUUAUAAGGUAAGGGAAGCUUGUAAUUUAAUUAUGAAUUCUGUUCUUUGAAUGUGGUAUGCUGGAAUGACUUUACAUGUAUGAAUUGGUUGAUUUUGUGAUCUUGCAUGUCUGUUUGAACGUAUUGGUGAUUGAAAAAUGGAUAAGACUGUGGUAGCAAUAGGGUUAAGUUGAAAACUCUAUAGAAUUUUGUAACCUGAUUGAGGGUCAUGUAUAUGACCGAUCAGUAUUUUCCUAGGACGUUCAGUCUUUACUAAAGUCUCUUCCGUAGGAAAUUUCAAUUGGUGACCGAUCGGUAUCCUAAAGACUAUAGGUAUUUUAUUUUACUAAGUAGUUUAGUCAAGGAAACUCCAAACAAGUUAAGAAAGUUUCAUUUUUGGUUUUACUAUAUAUAUAUAUAUAUAUAUAUAUAUAUAUAUAUAUAUAUAUAUAUAUAUAUAUAUAUAUAUACUGUUUAAAACGUUCGGUCAUUUAAGUGCUCGGUCUUAGACUAGCACUUAGUCUUUGAAGUACUUGGUUUUAUAUGAAUAUUAUUUCUUUUGAGAGAGAGCGUUCGGUCUUAUACUGACACUCAAUUUCGUAAAUAGUGUUCGGUCUUAUACUAGUAUUCGGUAUCUUGAAGAGAACUCCAUCCUAUGAUAAGGUAUUCGGCCUAAGCCCUAAGUACUCGGCAACAACUAUAAUAUUAUAAAUAAGUCUUCAUUGUAUGACUCAAUGUCAGAUAGCAUUCGGCCUUAGACUGUAUUCGAUCCCAACUGAAGUUACUCUGUUAUUGACCGUUCGGUCAUAAAUCCUGAGAGUAUAGGUUUCUUACCAUUCGGUCAUGUUCAUAGAAUAUUGUAUUGGCUCUUUCAAAAUCCUCCUCAUGAUGAUUAUUUUAAAUAUGUUAUUUGAUUUCAUUGUUAUGGAUGUAUAAGUAUGUUGGAAUUUGUUAUGAAAUAGACAACAUAAUGGUGUAAGAGAAUUCCAAGGAGGAAUGUCUCAUGAUUGGUGAUGAUUGAUAAAGUAUGAACAUGGUCAGACUCUGGCUUCGUUUUUUAUCCUGAUAUUCUGUGAUUACUUUUCCUCGUAUAGAAGAGGGUAACUCAUGCGUGGGAAUAGCAGGAGGUCCGCGAUCAUAAGAUCAAAUGGUUGUUUUAGGACUAACCUCGGGUGGCAGCUGUUGAGUGUAUCCCAGUUACUAUACUACGUCGGGUGUUAGAGACGACGAGCUACAUGGUUCAUACAGUACGAACAAUGUCAAUAGUGAUCGGUUAUUAUGUUCAUACAUUCGGGUUUUGGGUUAGGAUGAUUGUAUAAUGGUUGUAUGUCUGAAUAUGAAGUGCUGAAUCAUUUUAUGAUCUCUUUAAAUCAUUUGUUUAAAUCAUUUUGGGUUACAUCUUUGUUUGUGUCGGUGGAGUUUUGGACAAUGAUAAGACAUUUCUUUUAGUACAUAUUAAUGUUUUUCGCUGUAAUACAUACCUAUAUUUUACGCACCCAACCUUCUUACAUUUAUUUAAUAUUUAUUUAAUGCUGUCUUUUCUUUUUUCUUUUUACUCUUUUCAGUAUAAAAAUUAAGCUUUUUAUACUUAUUUUAUUAUGUAAUUCAAAAUGAAUAUGAAUAAGUAUGAUUUUAUUAUUAUUGGAUAAUAUAUUAAAUUGGUUUUAAGAGAACAUACAAACUGACUUGUCAUCAUUUCUGUCAUUCAUAUUUAUAUUUAAUUGUAAAAACCAAAGUAUCACAAAACGAUAUUGGAAUAUGCAACAGGGAAGCUGCAAAUUGGAGACAAACAAAAAUGGAUGCGUCUUCUAUGCACAUAGCAAUGUUUCCAUGGUUUGCCAUAGGUCAUUUAACACAUUAUCUCCAUCUAUCCAACAAAUUAGCAAAGAGGAGACACAAAAUCUCCUUCAUCCCAUGAAGAACACAAUUCAAGUUAUUGUAGCGGAAUCUAGCUCUUAAAAUCAGGAAGUCUGACACCAAGUAAAAAAAUAGACUGAUUAUUAUUCUCAAUAUAAAAAAUACAUUCCCAUAUUUUUAUUUGUAAUAAUUUACAUAUCUAUUCUCUUUAAUUAAAAAGAUUCUAAAAAAAUAUUAUCGCAAAUUACAAUAAUAAUGUUAUUAUAAAAUUAUUUUUAUAAAUUAUUAAAAAUUUUAAUUCUAUAUUACGUCUAUUUAUUAUAUAACUAUAAUAAUUAAAUGUACAUAUUUAAAUUUAUUUAUUUAAAUAUAAUAAUAAAUAUAUUUCUUAUUUAUCUUGUGAUUCAAGAUGAAUAUAAAUAUGUAUGAUCUCAUUAUUAUUCGAUAAUAUAUUAGAUUGAUUUUAACUGGCACAUAUAGAUUGACUUGUCAUUAUUUCUGCCAUUCAUAUUAAAAUUUAAUUAUAAAAACCAAAGUAUCAGACAACCAUUAAUAUUAAGAAAAUAUAAGGUAGUGUUUAAUUCCAAGGUGGACGUUUUAAAUUUACACGUUUUUCAAUUNUUGAAUCAUGCUAAAAAGUUAAUAAUUCAGGUAAACAAGUUGGCUAUAUAUGUAUUUGAAUAUGCAGCAGGAAGCUGCAAAUUGGAGACAGACAAAAAUGGAUGCAUCUUCUAUGCACAUAGCAAUGUUUCCAUGGUUUGCCAUGGGUCAUUUAACACCUUUUCUCCAUCUCUCCAACAAAUUAGCAAAGAGGGGACACAAAAUUUCCUUCUUCAUCCCCAGAAGAACACAGUCCAAGUUAGAGCAAUUCAACCUCUUCCCAGAUCUCAUCACCUUUUAUCCUAUCAAUGUUCUUCAUGUUGAAGGUCUUCCUCUUGGUGCAGAAACCACUUCCGAUGUAUCUUUUUCUUUAGGUCCACUCAUUAUGACAGCUAUGGAUCGCACUGAGAGGGAUAUAGAGCUUCUCCUUGUAGAUUUAAAGCCACAAAUUGUUUUCUUUGACUUCACAUAUUGGCUACCAAGCAUUACUUCUCGCUUGGGGAUCAAAUCCUUUCUAUACUUGAUUGUUAGCCCUGCCACAAUAUCUUACACAACAGUCCCUGAAAGGAUGAACCACAAGGGUACCUUAACUGAACUUGACCUUAUGCAACCCCCUCUUGAUUACCCCGUACCAUCGAUCAAACUUCAUGCCCAUGAAGCUAAGUUCCUUGCUUCUAAGAGGAACUGGGAGUAUGGUAGUGGUGUUCUCUUUUAUGACCGCAUCUAUGGUGGUCUAACCUUAUCAGAUGCAAUUGGGUUCAAAGGUUGUAGAGAAAUUGAGGGGCCUUAUGUUGACUACCUUGCAGAGCAAUUUGGGAAGUCUGUUAUCCUUUCAGGACCUAUCAUACCUGAGUCAC